AGAUACCUGGAUGCAGGACAAGCCAGUGUCAGACAAAAGCUGCAUGCUCCAUCUCCACUGUCAGGAUCCAUCACGUGAUCUGAUCACAAAAUAAGGCAUUCAUCUCUCUCAAUUUACUGAAUAUUACAAGAUAAAUGUGAUAGAUUAUAUGACACCGCAGAUGGAUUGGUCUGCAGUGUCGCACCCACUAUUGUGUACAUGAAGAAAUAGGAAGUGAGGUUUGACUGGUUGCAACUGCACAACACGGGACUCAGGAGAGAGAAACAGCACUUGAUGAAGUGGCUCCAGCUACCCAUCACACUCCACACUGCUAUAUCCGUGGACAGAGAGCGGGGGAACCAGUGUGAGAGACCAUCUAUCCAGACGGGGGGAUGACAGCCGCGGUUGCCGUGGAGUUUAUACACACAUGCUUGUAGAACUGCCGCGAGACAGUUCUUUCCUACCGCUGUUUGGUACGUUUGUCAAAACCUCUCUGCAACAAGUUACCACCCUUCUUCCCUGUCAUGAUCAAAUAUACCAGCCCCCCGGACCUAGGUGAAGAAUGGAUAAAGAGGAAAAUUUGGCUUGUGAGGGAAAGAGAAAAGUCCUCAAGUCUUACAAGAACCUAGAAAUGAGAAACUGCAAAUAAAAUAUCUAAAUCAUA